rnacentral:rRNA from 1 species
GACAGAGGGUGCAAGCGUUGUUCGGAAUUACUGGGCGUAAAGCGCGUGUAGGCGGUUUCCUAAGUCAGGUGUGAAAGCCCCGGGCUCAACCCGGGAAGUGCACUUGAAACUGGGAGGCUAGAGUAUCGGAGAGGUAGGUGGAAUUCUCGGUGUAGAGGUGAAAUUCGUAGAUAUCGAGAGGAACACCGGUGGCGAAGGCGGGUAACUGGACGAAUACUGACGCUGAGACUCGACAGCGUGGGGAGCAAACAGG